rnacentral:rRNA from 1 species
CCUACGGGUGGCUGCAGUGAGGAAUAUUGGUCAAUGGACGAGAGUCUGAACCAGCCAAGUAGCGUGAAGGAUGACUGCCCUAUGGGUUGUAAACUUCUUUUAUAAAGGAAUAAAACGAGGCACGUGUGCCUUUUUGCAUGUACUUUAUGAAUAAGGAUCGGCUAAAUCCGUGCCAGCAGCCGAGGUAAUACGGAGGAUCCGAGCGUUAGUCGGAUUUAUUGGGUGUAAAGGUAGCGUAGAUGGGUUGUUAAGUCAGUUGUGAAAGUUUGCGGCUCAACCGUCAAAUUGCAAUUGAUACUGGCAGGCUUGAGUACAGUUGAGGUAAGCGGAAUGCGUGGUGUAGCGGUGAAAUGCAUAGAUAUCACGAAGAACCCAGAUUGCGAAGGCAGCUUACUAACCUGUGACUGACAUUGAUGCCCGAAAGUGUGGGUAUCAAACAGGAUUAGAUACCCGGGUAGUC